AACGAACGCUGGCGGCAGGCCUAACACAUGCAAGUCGAGCGAGGACUUCGGUCCUAGCGGCGGACGGGUGAGUAACGCGUGGGAACGUGCCCUUUGCUACGGAAUAGCCCCGGGAAACUGGGAGUAAUACCGUAUGUGCCCGAGAGGGGAAAGAUUUAUCGGCAAAGGAUCGGCCCGCGUUGGAUUAGGUAGUUGGUGGGGUAAUGGCCUACCAAGCCGACGAUCCAUAGCUGGUUUGAGAGGAUGAUCAGCCACACAGGGACUGAGACACGGCCCAGACUCCUACGGGAGGCAGCAGUGGGGAAUCUUAGACAAUGGGGAAACCCUGAUCUAGCCAUGCCGCGUGAGCGAUGAAGGCCUUAGGGUUGUAAAGCUCUUUCAGUGGGGAAGAUAAUGACGGUACCCACAGAAGAAGCCCCGGCUAACUCCGUGCCAGCCGCCGCCGUAA
rnacentral:rRNA from 1 species